UGGAAAAUUAUGAAAAAAAAAAAAAAAAAAACAACUAAAAUAGGAGGAUAUAAUUAAUGAGAAUUUGAACCAUCACUCUUUCUAUAUUUUUUAAUUCAAUAUAUCCUCUUUAAUUUUGAGAUUCAAUUAAGUGGUUAAAGUGAUCAUAAAAUCCAAACAUGCUACACAUAUUCCUUGCCUAAAAAUUAGACGAUUAUUAUGAAAGAAACUAAAUGACAGAUUAAAUAUAUCUAAGCUUUUCGAGAUUUAUGCUAAGAAAACAAGUAAUUUGAAAGAUGUUUGAGGAGCUAUCCUUAUAACUAAUACGUAAGAUAUAAGAUUAUGACAAAAAUUUAACUAAACUUUCUAAGAACAUCAAGUUGAAUAUGCUUACAUUGAAUAUAUAGAGACAUGGUUAAUAAAGACAUGUUAUAUUUUUAGUGUAAGAUAUAAAUUUUCUAAAAUUUCACCGUCUCACAAUCUAAACAGAUAACAAAAAAAACAAGGAUAUAUAAAUUAAAAUAAAAAACUGAAAAUCUAAAACAACAAUAAAAAACAACUCAAGCACAUUCGUUUUCAGAUGAACUAAUAUAGUUGGACUUUUCAAAAACACUUACAAAUCAUUUUUAUGUUUCAUAACCGAUGCAUUCAACUGUACUUUAUAUGAACAGACAUUAUAUAAAACAAUUUGUAAAUAGUAAUACAUAAACCCGCACGUAGUGCGGGUACUCAUCUAGUACAGUUAAAGUGUUGUUAACAAAAAAUUAAUGUUUACAAGGAUUAAUAAUAGUGAAGAGGCUAAAUUUAGACAAUGAUAAAAAGAAAAGAAAAAU
rnacentral:sRNA from 1 species